rnacentral:rRNA from 1 species
AUUGAACGCUGGCGGCAGGCCUAACACAUGCAAGUCGAACGAGUGGCGGACGGGUGAGUAAUGUGUGGGAAACUGCCUGAUGGAGGGGGAUAACUACUGGAAACGGUAGCUAAUACCGCAUACCAUCGAAUGUGCCCAGAUGGGAUUAGCUAGUAGGUGGGGUAAAGGCUCACCUAGGCGACUAUCCCUAGCUGGUCUGAGAGGAUGCACAGCCACACUGGAACGUGUACACGUUCCAUAUGCCUACGGGAUGCAGCAGUGGGGAAGAUUGCACAAUGGGCUCAAGCCUGCUGCAGCCAGGCCGCGUGUAUGAAGAAGGCCUUCGGGUUGUAAAGUCCUUUCAGCGGUGAUGCGUUACCCGCAGAAGAAGCCCCGGCUAACUCCGUGCCAGCAGCCGCGGUAAUAC